GAGGAUAAAAAAUGCUUGUCCGACUGCGAUGUUGCAAAGUUGAGAACAGAAGUUCAUGACAUUGAGCUGCAGUUUUAGUCUAAGAUACUGCUACGAGACUUAGCUCAUGACUCGAGGUGGAUGAAUUUGCAAAUCAAAUUUUAAACGUAAAGUGUGAAUUAUCCGGCCUUAUCUCACGUAAGCUGUGGUUCGAUGUUUAACUUUCGCGGGUAAAUUUUGGUUAUUUGUAAAUUUGAAAUUUUGGAAGCAUAACUUUACGUUUCAACCCUUCUUUUUUAGCGCGGCAAAUACAAAAAAGUAAGCUACUUUACCUCUUCAACAGGAUGUCCACUGUGAUCAUGGAUAGAGGGAAACAGUACAAUAAAACAACUAACACUGUUUUUUACAGAUGAAAAACCGACUGUCUUCAAAUGUUGUGAUGUUUUCUGUUUUUUCCAUUUUUCUUCUGUUUUAACCUUUAAAACAAACAUAAGAUAUGCAAAACAUCUUUGAUUUGCUACACUCAUCAACGUAGUGUAAAAGCUGUCUUGAGUUACCUUAUAAUGUGGGAAAGUAAGAAUCUCCCGAAUACUUAAACAUGCAGUGCAAUUCAUUUUCUUUGAUCCUUGCACGCAAAGGUAUUUUUUUUCCCGUACAUGUGGUCAGCUGGACCCUUAAACUGGUUUUGUCGUUUUAAAUUCUUUGUUUUAUUUCUAUCUUUGCCAUGUUGACAUUCGUAUUUUGUGAACGAUUUAACAACAAAUGGGAUGUUUUCUUGUGCAUCCCAUUGAACUUUACUUUUUCUUAAAUCUAAUAAUAAAAAUAUAUAUUUCAGGA